rnacentral:misc_RNA from 1 species
AUCAGACCAAUAAUUUUUUUUAUACUUUGAAACUUAAAUUUUGGCAAUUGAUUCUAAAACAUUAAUAUGGGUUUCAAAAAUUUUCCAAUAUUUACUUGUUCAACAAAAAUUUUUGUACGGUUGGCAGUUUGAGAAAUUCUGUGUCACGUGAUCAAUAAGCCAGGAGACCUAAUGGCGUUGGCUUGGCAGUGUCUGCCAAAUUUUAUCUUCAUAUUUACGCAUUUUUCUACGUAAAAUCAAACUGACGCAUAACAAGUGGUUAAAAAAUGGAUUAAUGAAUGUUUGACGCAGAUUCCUGGAAAAGAAAAUGGUCGAGAAGUCAAGUAUUUGACGAGAUAUAGGGUUUCUGUGCUAAGAUGGGGGACCAUGUAUCCCCUCUCCCUGGUCUACCAGGACCCCCUCAGAUCAGUAAUCAUAUUCAACAACAUUCAAACAAUAACAAUCAAACAGGAAACCAUACAGCAACAAAUAAUACACAUCCAGUGACCCCCCUGAAAAUGCCCCAGAACUGUAUCCCCACUGCUCCUGGUACCCCUGGAACCCCUGGUACUCCUGGACCUCAGCCGAUACCCCAGACUCCAAGUCCAGCUCCGCCCCCUGGCAAUCCAAACUUCGAGGUUGACCUACCUCACGACCUGCUACAGCUAGGUUGGAGGAAAUACUGGAGUAGACGGGAGAAUAGACCGUACUACUUUAACCGAGGAAACGGGGAAACUUUAUGGGAUAUGCCAGGAACUAUUCAGCAAACCUUUGAGAGAAACUCAGAUCCCUUGGGGAUUAACACCCCGCCUUCAGGACCUCCCAUACAUCAUGCCUCUCCAAACCAGCAGCCACCUCCUCACCACCAGCACCUCUCCCCCCAUCAUCCACCUCCUCCCCACAUGAUGCAUCUCCAGCAGCAGGGGGUGAAAAGAAGAGCCUCAGAUGAGCUAGGACCUAACGCCAAGAAGAUUAUUGUCCCUGGUCCUUGGGACCUGGAGAUACCCACCAAUGUUAUUAUGUUUGAGAAACCUCAAACCCUGUUCCCCCAUCCGCAUCCAGAGGUUGAGGUUCUACGGUUUCAACUGAUGAUGAAGCUACGUCAAACCUACCAGGAAAUGUGCCAUUCUCGAGAGGGUAUAGAUGCACCCAAAGAGUCUUUCAACAGAUGGCUUUUAGAACGUAAGACCAUUGACCAAGGAACAGAUACUCUGUUCCCUUCGUACUGCUUUCCAGAGAUCUCAGUCGCCAUGUAUAGAGAAAUUAUGAAUGACAUUCCAAUGAAGCUAGUGAGACCAAAGUACACUGGCGAGGCCAGGAAACAGCUCUCAAAGUACUGCGAGGCCGCUAGAAAAAUGAUAGAGACGCGUGGGACGAGCUCCGAAGGGAGAAAGAUAGUGAAAUGGAACGUGGAGGAUACCCUGCAGUGGUUGCGGAGGACUGUGGGUGCUUCAUACGAGGAUUUUCAAGAGAGGUUGUCCCAUCUCAAGAGUCAGUGUCAGCCUCACAUCACCGAGGCUGCCAAGUCGAGCGUAGAGGGUAUCUGCAGGAAAAUGUACAACCUCUCCUGCGACUAUGCCGCGAAGGUAAAGGAGAAGAACCAGAGUAUCCUUGUUGAGGGAGGAAUAAAUGAGCAUGCCGUCAAGGUUAAUGCCCCUCACCAAAGGAAGGUUUGGUGCUAUCCAAUACAGUUUGCUCUACCCUGUCCUAAUCUUCCCACUGUAGACUUUGUCCAGGAUAAGGAUAAAACAUAUUUAAGAUACAAGGGGGACACGGUUCAUGUCAACAACGCCUACUUCCACAAGCUAGAGCAGCUCUACCGCUACGGGUGUGCGGAUGAUCGAAAAUUCGAGCAUUUUCUAUCCCGCUGUUAUAUGCUCAUUAAACGAUAUAACGCUUACUUUGGUAACGUUUUAUCAGGCGAGGGGGCGCAAAACCAGGGAGCACUUCCCAUUCCAGUUCUAGAGUGCUUGAACAAACAAUUUGGAGUGACAGUGGAGUGCUUUGCCAGUCCAUUCAACUGUUAUUUUCGACAGUUUUGUUCCGCAUUUUCCGACAUUGAUUCAUAUUUCGGGUCCCGUGGCCCAAUCCUCGAGUUUAAACCACAUUGUGGGUCUUUCGAGGCUAAUCCACCUUUCUGUGAGGAGUUAAUGGACGCUGUUAUCACUCACUUCGAGCGGUUGCUCGAGGACUCUAUGGAACCCUUGUCUUUUAUCGUGUUCCUGCCAGAGUGGCGGGAUCCUACACCCCCCGCCUUACUUAAACUAGAAGGGAGUAGAUGGAAGAGAAAGCAGGUUGUGGUUCCAGCGCUGGAACAUGAUUAUAGACACGGGUUCCAACAUGUUGUAACUAAACCUGAAGUGAGUGUAAAGUGUGUCCACGGAACAAUGAUUGUUUGGUUACAGAAUGAUGCUGGUUAUCAGAGAUGGGGCCCUACAGAGGAAAGAGUCGAUACACUGCUUGAAGCCUUUAGACCUGGACGUGAGCGUGAGCGAGAUCGAACCCAGCUGUUGUCCCCAACCCGGAUACCGGAAACUAAACCUGACUCUGCUAAUUCAACCUAUAUAUCUUCCAGUGCUCCUCCACUUCCCCCAACCUCACUUCCAACCUCUCUCUCAGCUUAACCCAGUUCUAUCUACCUCUAUAUCUCUGUGUACUCUUAUGUACUCUAUGUACUCUAUGUACGCCAUAUAUACUUUAUUUACUGAAUGUACUUAAACGUAUGAAUGUAUGGGCGCGAGUAGAUACUGUUUAAAUGUGCAAUUACUGUGCUAUGUGCUCUAGAUUUCACCAUAUUUGUAAGUUGAAUGAAAUAUCUUAUAUUUAUAUUGUUAAAGUCCCUUUAAUGUGACAAUUGUACUGCAUAAAGAUGAACAUCUAAUUUACAGAUGGAAAGCUUAAGAAAAUGUACAAAACAGCUGCUUUUUAAUGUACUGCAUUGUUAACAUAAAUGGGAAUUACAUUGUCAGUUGAUGUGUACUGCAAUGUAAUUAUUAUAUUAACCGUCUGCAUAUUGACUCCAAUAUUUAUUCUGAAUAUUGUGUAAGUGUGAACUGUACUGUACUGAAAUACUGGAAAGUAAACAGUAAGACCAGAGAUGUACUGCAUUGUACAGUUAACCCAUAAUUUUUUUAAUUGUUGUUUUUAAAUGUAAAAUUUAUUUUGAAAACGAGUUUCAGACAUUUUGUGAAUCAAUGACGUUAUCUCGUGAUAUUUUCUAUUUUGUUUUUAUGUUUUUCUGUCACUUUUUCUAAAAAAGCUUUCAACAUAAUUUUUCUGAAAUCCUAAUUCAUACCUUAGUAAAACAAUUCACCGGUGGAAUCUUUUAUAGUCCAUGUUCUUAAAGAUUCAUUUAGUUUAGGAAUUAAUUUUCUUUAUUUUACAUACAAGAUGAAUUACAAAAACGACCAUGCUAAACUAUUAAAAAAUUGUUUCAGGUCGAGCUAAUAAUAAUUUCGCAUUUUCAGUUCACGGUCAUCAAUAACAUAUCUUAACAGUUAAAACUUGUUUUAUAUGAAAAACAAUGUUUCUGUAAAGGGGGGUGGGAUAAAGAAUUUCCUACAUACAUACAUUUCCUAAAGUAGCUCGGUCUUGACAUACGAUAAUUUAAUGAAAUUAGUGCAACUUUGAUUUGUUCAGUUUAAUUUGUAAAAUUCGGAUUUGUUUCAAAUAUAUAACUGCGUUACUUA